CAUGUUCUAAAGUCAAAAUAAAUAAAAUUCAAGAUUAAAGGUUCAUAAUACAAUGUUCAUUGCAAAUCCUUGCACAAAAUAAUUUUGCUUAGCAUUACGGUGGAAUUAAACAAAGAAAAGAUUGAAGAUAUCACCACAAAUGGAGAGAACGUGAUUAAUAUCCAAAUUCCUCCCGUCCGCUUUUGCUUCUGCGUGUGUAAAUAUAUGUAUUCCUUGGCUGCCUUUUGCCUUCAAUUUCUGGCCUUCAGUUGUGUGUAUAUAUAUGUGUCCAGCCACCUUUUGCAUGAAUGCAUGUCUCUCAAUUCCUAUUGCAACUAGUGUGUACAUGGAUAUACAUUCAACAACAGCUGUCUAUGUAUUUGUUCCAGCGAUAACAGCCUUUUAUCCUCCAAAAUCUGUCCCCCCAUUACUGUCCGUGUAUGUUUGUAUAUAUAUCUAGUGGUGGGCAUGGAUUGGGUUGGGUUGGGUUGGGUUGGUUUGGGUCGGUUUUCGCCCCAAUCCAAACACGACCCACCGUGGUCGGUUUGAUCUAAAAUCAAACCAACGCAAUCCAUGUAAAUGUUUCAACCCAACCCAAUCAAGUUUCAAUCGGGUUGGGUUCGAUCGGUUGGUUUGGGAAAAACUUGAUUCACUUAAAUUAAAGAGCUGCCAUCCAUUGUAAAUUAUGUAGGCAUUGCCAUCGAUUGAAUCAGAAGAGAUGUCAAAAGUGGAACAUAUGAAUGAAACACAUAUGAUCAAAUCCAAUUAUAAAGAAUACUUCAUCCUACAUAUUAAUAAACACAUUUUACCUCACAGCAAGUAAAACAUUUCAUCAGAUAUACAAUAAUCUAUAGCACAGGAAUGGGGAUUACUUACAUUUUUUGUCCUGCAAAAGAUCGAUUCUCUCUAGACAAUCAGAUUCAACACAACAUCCAUGCAACCAAGUGAACCUUUGACCUAAACAAAACAAAGAAUACUACAAUAAAUAAAUAAAAUAAAUAGAAAACAUAAAAUUGAAACAGCAUUCAAACUGCUUGAAUUAUAAGAUUUUCACCCCUUCUAUAUUUCCUUAAUUUUCAAACAAACUGAACUCUGUUUUAGUAUAGCAAGACACCAUUACACGAUUGUAAUUUCCUGCCACUUAAAAGGAGAAAACUCUUGAAGUAACAACACAGCAGAAAAUUCAACCGAACGUUGAAGAAACUCUUGAAGUCUAGAGUCAAUUUCAGAUCCAAAAAAAAUGCAUAAACAAGGCUGAAAGACGAGGAUGGCCUUGCAGUAAGCAACCCAAGAUAGUCUCAAAUGGGGUGCACCAUGUAGGAGAAAAGAAAGCCGAAACAUCUUUGCGAGCGAGACACCUUCGUUUCUCCACAGUCUUCUAAGUGUUGCUUGAUUUUCAUGAGUUGUUUCAUUUUUGCAUCAUUUUGUAACAUAUGAAUCUAGCAUUUGAGAGGAGAUGAAGAGAAAAUUAGGAGACAGAGAGACUAGGGCUUCAUAUCGUGGCUGGGAGUGAAGAAGCAUCAUUUCGUAGCAUAUGAAUCUAGCAUUUGAGAGGAGAUUGAGAGAAAAUUGGAGGACAGAGAGAUUAGGGCUUCAUAUCGUGGCUGAGAGUGAAGAGAAAUUGAAGUGUAAAAUUUUAGGGCUUUUUCCAUUUAUGUCGUUUUCCAUUUUUUUUCCUUUUUUUUAAUGUAACGGGUCGGGUCGGGUCGGGUCGGGUCAGGUUUCAUUGGUUAACCCACAACCCAACCUGACUACACAACCCACCUAAAAAUAGCAAAAAACCGACCAAAACCGGUCGGGUUGGGUUGGGUCAGGCAGUUUCUAUUGGGGAAAUUUACACCGAUUACAUACAUAUUAUACUCACAAAAGCAUACGAGUUAUUUGCGUGAAAUAGAAACGUAAUUUUAACUUACCGAAAUAGAAUUUGAGAAGCAAAACAUAAAAGUUACCGAAUCUGAAUACAUAGAUAUGGAUUCAUCCCUUUCGAUUCUUGAACGAAAACAAAUUAUUCUUUUGAUCGAACCCUGCAACAUAAACAUGUAAACAAUAUUAAUCAUUUCCCGAAAUCAAAAUAUAAUCAAAAGAAAUCAGAAAACUGUAGGAAGAAAGAUACAAGUGAUGAAUUUUUGGUCGAUGCAAGUGUUUGACACUUGGUCCUUAAGAUGAAUUUGUCCCGCAUUGGUGUUAACGGUUUUCCGAUAAUCAUCUCCUAAGAUACGACGACCACGUCAAGUCAUAGGAGCACUCCAAAUGACUUCGACCAGCGAACUCAAACGGAAUUCCCUCUCUACCAAGGAAAUGCAUGAAAAUACUAUCAAAUUAGAAAGUGGAGAAUUGCAAGUAGAGAAUGGAUGCUCAAUGCAAUUGGUGUAUCCAAAAUCAUGUCCAUAGGGUUCUAUAUAGAUGUAGAAAGGGUACAAAUGAAGUAGUAUGGGCCAAAACAUGCAUCAUUUCAAAAAAGUUGCAACACUUGGCCAAAACCUGCACCUUUCGAAAAAUUGCAACACUUCAUUUCUUCCAAUUUUGGUCCGCAAUUUCUCAUUCAUCUGGAAUUGGUUUCGAGAUUCCAAAUAUACCACGACGAUCUACUCAACGAGUAGAAUAAGUUGGUCUAUUUACUUUUGUAAUUUGACCAUCGGAUCAAAUCCGAAUAUUUGGUCGAAGUUGACACAGUCACACCUUUUCAUUUUCCAUUUUUACACACAUUUCCAUUUUCCAAUUUUUACACACCUUUUCAUUUAAUUAUUUGAACCAAUUCCUACAAUCCCCCACAUGAAUGAAAAUUGGGUACGCAUAUGCAAAUGCGAUGAUAUGAUGCAAUGAAGAAAGGGUGCGAAAAAACACCGCAUCAGGGAAGGUAGCUGCUGGCCUUGAACCUCCCUUGGUGAAAUACCAUAGGAUUUACUCGACUAAUUGGAGAACGUAAUGCCUUGAACCAUUUAGCCUUUAGAGUAAGCCAAGAUAACGAUACUCGCACAGAUAUCUUUUUUAAACCGUUCAUAGUUCUCAUGAUUUGGUUCAUUUUGGUCCUGAACCCUUUUUUGUUCUGCAAGUAUUUAGAGAAUUCAAGCAUUGAAUAAUUCUCAUUAAAGCGGCUCUACUUCACACUUACAUAGGUGACCUCUUAUUAAGAGUGUUCUGCCCUACUCCACUUGACUUAAUCAAGAUAUAAGAAUCAUUAAAAGAUUAUCUUAACAUAUUACAACUCUGCAGAAAGCACUUUAAUAUCAUAGGAAUGAGUUAGAAAACUAUUUUCUUUAGUGCUUCAUGAAAUUCUCAUAACUUAGUUGUCCCUUUGAACCAAGAUCUUGAGAUCUCCAGUAAACAAGGUAGGGUUACCAUUACAAGAACUCUAACGUAGUAGGCUUUACCUCAUUCCCUUCGAUAUGCAGUGUUCUUGAUCUCUCUUAGUAAAUCUCUUUAAAUGUACCACGAGUUUACAUCAUUGAGAUCAACUGCUUAAUGGUAUUAUGUCUAUGACUUACACGUCUAGAUCUACCAUUACAUAUAAUUUAGUAUCUUAUCAAAUAUAGCUAGCCAAUGAGAGAUUCAUUUGAUAGAUACAAAUUGUCGCCAUCAAGAAAUCCUCUCAUGAAGCUAUAUGCCUCAUUAGUUUUAUCUAAAGCUUUAUCAAUUUUCAGACACGGUAACAAACACUACACUAGUCAAUCACUUUUACUAGUAGAUUUCAGAAUCAUGGAUACAAAUAUCAUCAUUGAAGCAUUACUAUGCAUUUGAACUUUAUGAAUAUUCUUCAUCUAUUCCAAUUGUUCUUGCAUGUCUAAACAAAUGUCAUAAUUAACUUUACAACCCAUUUCAUCUACUUUAGACUUAGUAUAUAUCAUCCUUAUAAUUAAUAUAAUGAUUUUCUAUUUUUUCACCUUCAUAGAUAUCGUUCUUGAUGAUAAGAUAGAAGCAAAUGUAACUGUUAAACUGAGUUAUCCCCACAAUUCCUCAAUUAGGAAUACAUAUGCAAUCAAAUAACGUUACAUCCAUAAGUUUCAAACUUUUCAUUCAAGUUCACGAGCAUUUAUGAUAACCCCCACAUCUUUGGGUUCCAAUUGAACUUAGGAUUCAAUAACAUUUUCAUAGUUCUAUUCAUUUAUCUCAUGAAAGUCUAAGUACUUUCAAAAUAGUGGUCGUUGACUCACAAUUUAUUUCAAUUAAAAUUGUAUAUAACGUACUUCAAUCCAAUUAUUUUAAUUUGAUCAUCCAAAUUAAAUCAAGGCCAUCAUAUAAACCAUCAAUGCUUUCCAAGCAUAAACCAAUUUGAUUGGUCUCACAAUUGAAGUCAAUUUCAACAAUGAAGAGGGUUAGCAUCUUGAUUCACAAGAAUUGCAACUUCUCUUAUCACAUUGUAACCUUUCAUAUGAUAGCUUCAUUUCAACCAUCGGUUGAAAAGUUGCGUUCUCAAAAGACACAAUCCUAUAAAAGAACACACCCCUUGAAUUAAUCUCUAUAAAAAGAUACAACCAUUGGAAAUUAAUCAUACCAAAGGUCAUGAUUCUCCAUAUGAAAAGACACAUCUUUCCAUGCAAAAUUUUCUUCGAUUUCAAAUAAUUAAGUGGCUUAAUUCUCAUUACUAAAUAAUGAUAUCCACUUAAAUCAUCUCACUUAAUUUUAUGAAACUAAUUGAGGCUAUCACCAUAGUCGAAGUUAGUAUAAUUUCAAUAAGAUAAGAAAUUUUAACCAACUAAUUUACCAUGUCAUUAUCAUAUUCCAAUCAAAGGAAUCAUCAUGAAAGUUCAUAUACUUUCAUCAAAUAAUUGACAUCCUUAUAUGUCCAAUGGUUAGGAAUAAUUUCCUUAUUUCCAUCCAUUCAUUAUUGGACUUGAGUUGGUUUUAACAAUAUCAAAUUCAUCAUGAACAAAGUGUAGGAAUAGCAACAUAUAUUCCAAAUAUUUAUAUAUUCAUUUAUAUAAGUUUAUUCUAUAAAAUGUCUCAUAGAGUAGGUCCACACAUUUCCAUAUUUUGUUGUCAUCUAGUAAACUGCUUUUAGAACUCCAUUCACUUGUUCAAAAAUAAACCAUCUUGGAAAGAAAUGUGCUGGUUCAGCAGCUAUGCAUUAACAAUUGCAAUCAUAUAUCAUAUUCUAAAUGAAUUGACGGCAUAUAAAUUCACAAUUGCACAAGUAAUUAACUACUAAAUAAAUUGAACCAGCCCUUCAUGUAAUUUAUUUGAUAUCAUCAAACCAGUAACUUAUUCAUUAAAUAUGCAUCUUUUCAUGUAAUCACUCGUUCGUAUGCAAGGCAAUUUUAUUUGGUAACACAACUUAUGAUAAAAGACCAAUUCAUACCAUUUCAGAAAUGUGUAAGGAUACAUCCUUCAACAACAUGUAUAUUUUAUUUAAUUUAUCAGAAUAUAUUAAGGCAUUCUGGUUCCAAUUAUUUUUGCACGAAUUCUGUUUCAUGGAGAACAGAACCAUCAAUAUGAGUGCACAAACACCCAAUCAAGAUCCCUCAUGCACAAAACCACUUGUGUAAUUAAAAGAUGCCAGCAAAUUAAACAGCCAACUUUCCAAUUGGUAUCACAAUUUCGACAAGUACAAUUAUUUGGAAUAUCAUAUAUACCAUUAAUUUAAGUGCUUAACUAAUUGCUAGUUUACAGAUUCACGUGUUUAUACACAAUUUUCAAAAUUGCACACUAUAUAAUUUCCAAGAACGUAAAUAUAAAAUGCACGAGAAAAUCAACAAAAUUCAUCUUAAAAUUGUUGGGGAAAUUUACACCAAUUACGUACAUAUUAUAUUCACACAAGCAUACGAGUUAUUUGCGUGAAAUCGAAACGUAAUUUCGACUUACCGAAAUAGGAUUUGAGAAGCAAAACAUAUAAGUUACCGAAUCUGAAUCAAUAGAUAUGGAUUCAUCCCUUUCGAUUCUUGAACGAAAGCAAAUUAUUCGUUUGAUCAAACCUUGCAACAUAAACAUGUAAAAAAUAUAAUCAAAAGAAAUCAAAAAACUAUAAGAAGAAAGAUGCAAGUGAUGAAUUUUUGGUCGAGGCAAGUGUUUGACACUUGGUCCUUAAUAUGAAUUUGCCCCGUAUUGGUGCUAACGAUUUUCUGACAAUCAUCUUCCAAGAUACAACGACCACGUCAAGCUAUAGGAGCACUCCAAAUGACUUCGACCAAUGAACUCAAACAGAAUUCCCUUUCUACCAAGGAAAUGCAUGAAAAUACUAUGAAAUCAGAAAUGAGAGAAUUGUAAGAGGAGAAUGAAUAUUCAAUGCAAUUAGUGUAUCCAAAAUCAUGUCCAUAGGGUUCUAUUUAUAGAUGUAGAAAUGGUACAAAUGAAGUAGUGUGGGCCAAAACAUGCAUUCUUUCAAAAAAGUUGCAAUACUUGACCAAAACCUGCACCUUUCGAAAAGUUACAACACUUCAUUUCUUCCAAUUUUGGUCCGCAAUUUCUCAUUCAUCCGGAAUUGGUUUCGAAAUUUCAAAUAUACCACGAUAAUCUAUUCGACGAGUAGAAUAAGUUGAUCCAUUUACUUUCGUAAUUUGACCAGCAAAUCAAGUCCAAAUAUUUGGUCAAAGUUUUCCAAUUUUUACACACCUUUUCAUUUAAUUAUUUAAACCAAUUCCUACAGUUUCUGUGGGUUGGAUUGAGUUUUGCCCACCUCUAUAUAUAUCUUCAACAGCCACCAACUUUUGUAGUCCAAUUCUCCUCUUCUCUAUGCGUGUGCCGUCUCAUCCUCCAAAAGCGGCACCGUUUCUCUCCAAUUAAAAUUCCGACACAGUACCCUUCAGCCAGCUAUUUUUUCAAUUAUAAUUAUUUUCUUAGUCGCCAAUUUCUGUUGGUGUAUCUCCCUUACAAUGGCUUCAGUUGCCGUGUAUCUAUCUCUUUCAAUGGCAACACUUUUCUUCCUAUUAGACUUCCAACCCCCCUUCCCCUUCUCCUGUUUUCAACCGUUUCUACAUAUACUAGUCAUUGCCCAUGCAAUGCAAGGGUUGUGUCAUUUUUAAGGUGACAUUAGCAUUUCGAAUGUUAAGGAUCGAUAGAAGAUACGUACAUUGAUUGAGGUUACUAAAAUUAACUUAAUUUAACGAGAUAAAGUUUCGUAUUAUUUCACCCAUAAAAUAUAGUUAUGAAGCAAAUUUAACGAGAUAAAGUUUCGUAUUAUUUCACCCAUAAAAUAUAGUUAUGAAGCAUCCCAAAAGUAUGAAGAAAUCAAUAAAAUUAAUUUCAAACAAGAAUAAGAUAGAAUUUAUCUUCGCAACUGAUUAUGUAAAAAUUAAAACAAAGGGCAAAGAUACGUUGAGAGAAAUUACAAAGAAUAGUUCUUGAUGAGUGCAAUCAUCCUCCGUUACAUCUAUUUGUUUGUGUAAUGCUUUCUUCCUAUAGAAAAUAUGAACGAAUUAAUGAGCCAAAGUGGAACAUAUUAUAUUUAUGCAAGUAAGAUAAGGAAUAAAAUUAUCUUUAAAGUUGUCACGGCAAAGCAGAAAGCAGAAAUUACAUGCAAGUGUAGUAAUACACCUCGAGGAAAAGAUGAGGUGAUGAAACUUACGCAAUACAACAUGACAACAAGAAUUACAUGGUGGGAGGCAAAAAUACCAUCUCCGGGUUCAUAACAAACUCGAGACGUAAAAGUUUUAAUGUAAUCAUCAAAAAUGUAAAUCAUCAUCUUUGCAAAAUCACAUUAAU
rnacentral:lncRNA from 1 species